CCUACGGUAGGCAGCAGUGGGGAAUAUUGCACAAUGGGGGAAACCCUGAUGCAGCGACGCCGCGUGAGUGAAGAAGUAUUUCGGUAUGUAAAGCUCUAUCAGAAGUGAAGAAAAUGACGGUACCGUAUUAAGAAGCCCCGGCUAACUACGUGCCAGCAGCCGCGGUAAUACGUAGGGGGCAAGCGUUGUCCGGAUUUACUGGGAGUAAAGGGAGUGUAGACGGAAGCACAAGUCUGGGGUGAAAUGCCGGGGCUUAACCCCGGAACUGCUUUGACAAAUGUGCAUCUAGAGUGCUGGAGAGGUAAGUGGAAUACCUAGUGUAGCGGUGAAAUUCGUAGAUAUUAGGAGGAACACCAGUGGCGAAGGCGGCUUACUGGACUGUAACUGACGUUGAGGCUCGAAAGCAUGGGGAGCAAACAGGAUUAGAUACCCCAGUAGUC
rnacentral:rRNA from 1 species